AGUGAACGCUGGCGGCGUGCCUAAUACAUGCAAGUCGAACGGAGUGGCGCACGGGUGAGUAAUGUAUAGCUAAUAUGUCAUACACUAGAGGACAACAGUUGGAAACGACUGCUAAUACUCUAUAGUGUAGGAUGAGGCUAUAUUGUAUCAGCUAGUUGGUGAGGUAAUGGCUCACCAAGGCUAUGACGCAUAACUGGUCUGAGAGGACGAUCAGUCACCCUCGAACUGAGACACGGUCCAGACUCCUACGGCAGGCAGCACUAGGGAAUAUGGCUCAAUGGGUGAAACCCUGAAGCUGCUUCGCCGCUUCGAGGAUGACACUUUUCGGAUCGUAAACUCCUUUUUUUAGGCAAGCGGUACCUAACGAAUAAGCACCGGCUAACUCCGUGCCAGCAGCCGCGGUAAUAC
rnacentral:rRNA from 1 species